rnacentral:tRNA from 1 species
GGCCCGUUGGUGAAGCGGCUUAACACACUGCCCUUUCACGGCAGCACACAUGGGUUCGAAUCCCGUACGGGUCACCA